rnacentral:rRNA from 1 species
UACGAAGGGUGCAAGCGUUACUCGGAAUUACUGGGCGUAAAGCGUGCGUAGGUGGUUUUUUAAGUCCGUUGUGAAAGCCCCGGGCUCAACCUGGGAAUGGCCGUUGAAACUGGCGAACUGGAGUGUGGCAGAGGGGGGUGGAAUUCCGCGUGUAGCAGUGAAAUGCGUAGAGAUGCGGAGGAACACCGAUGGCGAAGGCAGCCCCCUGGGCUGACACUGACGCUCAGGCACGAAAGCGUGGGGAGCAAACAGG